UACGUAGGGGGCAAGCGUUGUCCGGAUUUAUUGGGCGUAAAGAGCGUGUAGGCGGCUGGGUAGGUCCGUUGUGAAAACUCGAGCUCAACCUCGAGACGCCGAUGGAAACCCUCCAGCUAGAGUCCGGAAGAGGAGAGUGGAAUUCCUGGUGUAGCGGUGAAAUGCGCAGAUAUCAGGAAGAACACCCGUGGCUAAGGCGGCUCUCUAGUACGGUACUGACGCUGAGACGCGAAAGCGUGGGAGCGAACAGG
rnacentral:rRNA from 1 species